CAGCAGCCGCGGUAAUACAGAGGGUGCGAGCGUUAAUCGGAUUUACUGGGCGUAAAGCGUGCGUAGGCGGCUUCUUAAGUCGGAUGUGAAAUCCCUGAGCUUAACUUAGGAAUUGCAUUCGAUACUGGGAAGCUAGAGUAUGGGAGAGGAUGGUAGAAUUCCAUGUGUAGCGGUGAAAUGCGUAUAGAUCUGGAGGAAUACCGAUGGCGAAGGCAGCCAUCUGGCCUAAUACUGACGCUGAGGUACGAAAGCAUGGGGAGCAAACAGGAUUAGAUACCCCAGUAGUCCCUGUCUCUUAUAC
rnacentral:rRNA from 1 species